GCAGAACUGGGAGGGAGGGUUCAUUUUUUUCCCAAGCUAUUGAUCAUGGCUGCUCUGUUGUAUUGCAAAGCCAGGUUAGUUCCACAGAUUUUCUCCUCCUGUCCAUUUCUAGCAGUCAUUACAUCAAAGACAUACACUUUCCAGGCUCAAAAAGGGGUAUCAAGGGUUGCUUUGAUGUCAUGUCCGUCUCCAGGAGGGUGAAUGAAUUUUGCAGACAGCAAAGGUGGCAUCAGGAAAUGUCCCUUUAUGAAGAAAAAUUCUGGAAGGUGACACCAGAAGAGAUUCCUCCCUAAUAUUUCCGACUUCCCUGUAAAAUGGAGCAGAGAGGAGGGUUCAGGGUCCUGGAGACAAGAUCAGAGAAUGAGAGAAAUCCAUUUUCGUGAAAGAAACCCACCAAGGAGAAGAAAUUUUGGAACAGUAGUGCUGGUGCACAGGAAGGAAAUAAGAUAAAAUAAUGUCAUUAACUUUUUGAAAUUCCAGAAGACAAAUAUGAGACAGCAGAUAAAUUAUAACAUUGCUGAACUGGACCCAUCACCCCUAAAUCAUGCUCCUUCCCUAUUUGGGAGCAAUGCUGCCCAGCGAGAUGAAGAGCCAGAAAGCUAGUUGCACCCUUAAAGGAGUAAUCCCCGAAGAAGGGAUCAGUGCCCUCAACACAAUGAAUUGGCCACUGGGACUACAGAAGGCAGCAGGAAAGGACUGGACGAGACAGUUGGGAAGCACCGUGCUCCCAUAUUGCCCAAUGUGCUAAUCGAAGCAAUCCCCUUCCUGCAGAGGAGGAAAUGGAGCUGGGUGUGCCAUACUUUACAUGGUGCUCUGAACUCUGUGUUAUAGGAGCACAAGGAAAGAAAAGCCACCACAUUUUCCUAUUACCAUGUCUCAUAAGGAGGGGGUGUUUCUGAAGAAGCUCUAGAGAUGUGAAUCACCAGUAGCCAGUGCUGUCUCCCUCUACAGCCCAGAUAAAGGCAUUUAAAACAAAAAGAGAGAUUAAAAUGCAGGUGUCAUCAUGAAGGAUUAUGACAUCUGAGUCCCCCAAUGCACACCUUAACUCCCCUAGGUCAUCUACACCUACAUGAGCUGGAGGCUGGGACUUGGGUCAUCUGGGACACCCGCAGUCCUGCUACCCAGUGAGCUGACCCUCUCUUCAUCCAUCAGCUGUAUUUGCUGUAUCUCCACCAGCUCUCAUGGUGAUGUCUACAUCUAGGGGCCCACAUUUGAGUAUCUUAACCCAGAGCUAAAUGCCUGAGUCACUCGCCUAAACACAGGCGGCCAGUUCAGUCUCUGGCAAGAAACUGGUGUAAUUUGGGAUGUUCCUGGGGUUUGGGCUACAUAAAUACAGAUUUUUCGGAUGUGAAUACAGCAACCAGAGGAAACCUAGCUAUUCUUGAUUACCAGCUGGAGGCCAGACAGCAUAUCCCAUGGUACCUCAAAGGCUACCAAGCACCAGUUUGUGGGCAUCCAGUUGGAUAUCCCCACUGGAUAAGAUAGCCCAAGUCUGUUGGACAAGAAGUCAGAAUUAAUUUGAAGAACAGGCACUCCAAGUCCUUUCUGUAUGUGGUUGUUAUGUUAGAUCUGCUCUCUGGUGUCAGUUUACCCUCAAAACCAGAAAUCAUGACCAAUUUUCAACCAGGCAUGUUUUGCACAACCCUCUGUCUGUGUACAUUCCAAGUUACAUUAUCUGCUUCUCUUCUUUUCCCAUGGUCUAAUUGUUUUUCCAGCCUCCUGCUUCCUUGCACAGCUCAUGAGGAAGCUUUCUAGUGGCUACAACAGAAGUUUAAUGACAUCACAUGUUUGUGUGCUGCAGAACGUGUCACUUCAUUUGGUCUGCAUCACGCACUUCCUACCCGUCUUCAGCAGACCUCUGGCCUCACCCACACGAGGUAUCCUCAGAUGUCUCCUCGCAGAGCACCUGAGUGCCACAGAGUUAAACAAACCCCUUGCUGUGCUCUACGGGGCAAUGCUGUCAGCAUCUCAUGGCCUAAAUGUUGCUGUCUUUUUUUUUUUUCUUCUUGCUACCUUUUAUUUCACAAUUUGCCUGUUGGGAUUUUGGUCUUGUGCAAGGGUUGUUAUGGGAAUAAAGUCUUAUCUCAAAGA